AGGGGACGUGGCGAAUCUGCGGGAUACAUCCCGUGCGCCGCGCGAGGGGCGGCCCCGCCCGCCAUUAGCGGCAGGGAAGCGCUGCCUCGCGGGGUGUCCCAGGGACUCCCGAGGCUCCCCAGACCCGCAGUGCUCAACACUACGCUCGUCCCCUUCCCCCGCGCCGGCAGCUCCUGUCACGGUGCCCCGAAUGCUGGCUGCCGGUGGCGAAUCUGCGGCGCAGAGCGGGCGCCCACGGAGGGCCUGCGGACGCUUCGUGCCCGCUGUGCUUUAGCGCCUUUCCCCCUCACGGGCUGCGCGCGGCCCCUCAGGGAGUUUGGCGCCUUUUUCCCCUCACGGGCUGCGCGCGGCCCCUGAGGGACGUUUGGCGCCUUUUUCCCCUCACGGGCAGUGGGCGGUCCCUAAAGCGCCCCGGUCCCCGGGCUGCUGUGAGGCCACGGAAAACGCUGCGGGGUCAUGUCCGAGCCCGAAUAAUAUCCCAUAAAAAGCAGCGAUGGAGUUAGGUGAACCGUCCGUCAGUGCUGCGGGGUCCUGGUCUGUGCAGAGUGUGGUGCCGAAAGGGCUGUUUGGAAUGGUAGCGCUUCCAGAGGCGGUUGAGUGGAGCAGGAUGAGCUCUGAGGGCAGCGGGAAGGUGCCGGUGUGUGGAAGAAUGUCAGAGGAAGGGGAUGGCGUUAGAGAUGGCUGUGAAGGCAGCGAGCUGGACCCCGGGUGUAAAGGGAACACCUGGCUAUGAGAUUUCUGAAGGCUGAAGCAGGCGCCGGUAGGUUUCAAUCUCCAUUUCCAGACGAGUCUUGAUGUCCAGGAGCUGUUGGUACUCCGCGUUCUGGCGCUCCAUGUCAGCCCUGACCUGGAAAAGCUGGGACUCCAGGUUCCCAAUCUGC